rnacentral:rRNA from 1 species
UACAGAGGGGGCGAGCGUUGUUCGGAAUUACUGGGCGUAAAGGGCGCGUAGGCGGGUCUUUAAGUCAGGGGUGAAAUCCUGGAGCUCAACUCCAGAACUGCCUUUGAUACUGAGGAUCUUGAGUUCGGGAGAGGUGAGUGGAACUGCGAGUGUAGAGGUGAAAUUCGUAGAUAUUCGCAAGAACACCAGUGGCGAAGGCGGCUCACUGGCCCAAUACUGACGCUGAGGCACGAAAGCGUGGGGAGCAAACAGG